AUGGCGCUCCUCAAGAACAACACGAGGGUUUUGUGUUUGGCAGCUCUUCUGUUGAUGAUAUCCACCAGCUUCUUGACAUGUGACGCAUCCUACGGGAUCACAGGUAUAUUCUUUUUGCUAUAUUCAUAUUCAUGUAUGGUUUAUACAAUCGUUUAGAACAUUAAUGGAUAAUCAAACAAAUACUACCUCUGUUCCUAAAUAUAAGUCCUUUUAGAGAUUUCGCUACGGAGUAAAACGAGUGAAUCUAAACUCUAAAAUAUGUCUAUGUACAUUCGUAUGUAGUCUGUAAUGGAAUCUCUAAAAGGACUUAUAUUUAAAAGCGGAGGGAGUACAAGUGAUUAUGUUAUGUCUUGCAUAUAUACUUACAACUUUAGACAUGGCUUAUUUAUGCUUGGGCGUGCAGAUGGAGGAGGUCGCAAGUUUUGUGUGGAUUGGGAUGGAGACUGCAAGGACCCGGUGAAUGGAAAACCUAGUCAGUGUCAGAUUUACUGCAGAGAUGCCGGUUAUGUCUUAGCGAAAGGCAAAUGUGAGCCUAUUAAUGGAGCCCCCAACGACAUGUGCUGCUGCUACAAGUGAAUGGCAUGGAAAU
rnacentral:lncRNA from 1 species